ACGGAUGGUAAUACCUCAUAACAUAAMGAAGMCGCAUGAYUUUGUUAUCAAAGAUUUAUCACUCAGAGAUGGGCUCGCGUCUGAUUAGAUAGUWGGUGAGGUAACGGCUCACCAAGUCGACGAUCAGUAGCCGGACUGAGAGGUUGAACGGCCACAUUGGGACUGAGACACGGCCCAGACUCCUACGGGAGGCAGCAGUGGGGAAUAUUGCACAAUGGGGGAAACCCUGAUGCAGCGAWRSCGCGUGGAGGAAGAAGGUUUUCGGAUUGUAAACUCCUGUCUUAAAGGACGAUAAUGACGGUACCU
rnacentral:rRNA from 1 species